rnacentral:rRNA from 1 species
ACAGUGUCUGGUGGGUAGUUUGACUGGGGCGGUCUCCUCCCAAAGCGUAACGGAGGAGCACGAAGGUUAGCUAAUCCUGGUCGGACAUCAGGAGGUUAGUGCAAUGGCAUAAGCUAGCUUGACUGCGAGCGUGACGGCGCGAGCAGGUGCGAAAGCAGGUCAUAGUGAUCCGGUGGUUCUGAAUGGAAGGGCCAUCGCUCAACGGAUAAAAGGUACUCCGGGGAUAACAGGCUGAUACCGCCCAAGAGUUCAUAUCGACGGCGGUGUUUGGCACCUCGAUGUCGGCUCAUCACAUCCUGGGGCUGAAGUAGGUCCCAAGGGUAUGGCUGUUCGCCAUUUAAAGUGGUACGCGAGCUGGGUUUAGAACGUCGUGAGACAGUUCGGUCCCUAUCUGCCGUGGGCGCUGGAGAAUUGAGGGGGGCUGCUCCUAGUACGAGAGGACCGGAGUGGACGCAUCACUGGUGUUCGGGUUGUCAUGCCAAUGGCACUGCCCGGUAGCUAAAUGCGGAAGAGAUAAGUGCUGAAA